AUUCUCACCAGGACCCUGAAGUCAUGGGCUGAACAAAGUCACAGCUGAAGAAAGGCCCAGAGGCACACAGAGAUGCCCUGAAACUCCUCCGGGUGCAGGCACCCUGCCCUGUAACUCCUCUGAUGCAAAGAAGAGGCUCAGGGCAGUGCUGAGGAACACACAGAGGAAUUCAGGAGGUGAGAUCAACCCAACGGCUGGACGAGGUGUGCUCUGUCAUGCACAGAUAACAACCAAAAACCUGCAUUCUUUUCCCAAAUCGCAGCCCUGCCCUUCUGGCAGGCACUCAGAGGGAUCUUCAAUGAGGACACAGCCUCGGACCCAGAGAUUGCUCUGGUUUCUCCUGGGAAACAGAGUGACAUCUUCCCUGUGGCUGCUUAUGGCUCCAUAGUACAGAAAAAACAGGAGCCGAGCCAUUGCAGAUGAAAACAUAAUGCUUCCUAAUGAAGUUGUGUCUAAUUGCAUGCUUCUGAUUAGCAAGCAUACAGCCUGCCCAGGGCCCUGAAACGACCAGGCAGGGCAGGGUGCCUUGCUCUGCUCCCAGCACCAACAGGAUGGGAGAUAUCCAUUCAUAAAACGGAGCCAGCUGCAAGCCUAGAACCAAAGGCAGCCCUCUGGGCUCAGCCAAAGCAGCUCUUCUGGAGCUCCUAUGAGGGCAGACCAGCUUAGGAAGGGCUGCAGAGGGAAUUCUGGUCCUGAGAGCCACAUUUGUGCAGCCACUGCUGGGGCACAGCCCAGUGACUCCAAAGGGAAAGGGGGAAUCCCACAUUUCAGAGGAGCUCCAACAGAAGAUCUCAGUGUUAGAAGAUACAGCUGACGUUCAUCAACUUGUUCUAUUAAUUGCUUUGGCAGAACAUGGCUGAAAGUGUCUGAUCUCACCAAGAUUUAUUAACUCUUGGCAGCUCUGCACAGCUGCUCAUCUUCAUUAACUAAUUCAACCUCACCCCCUUUUAAUCUGUGGGGAUGUCGGAGAUAAAACGCGUUCUGCUCUUUCUGCAGCUCCUGGAGUGAUUUCUGGCUGCAGUCACCCUGCAGGAGGCAAAGCAGUGAGGUUUCACCCCAGCUCCCCCCCGAGCUGCUGUAGCACUGUGCCCUGCUUGCAGCCCGGGGAGGAAGAACCUUCCUCAUCACACUGCAAUGCAACCUUAGCAUCACGGGGGAAAACAGCACCGCUGUUGGGAGCUGAUGGGAGCUCAGUGCCACUCGGCAGACAUUUCUGCACUGCCCCUCCUGAUGAACUUUCUGCCCCUGGCAGCAGCCCCUGGAACAUUUCCUUGCAUGCAAAGCUCCAGAGAGAGCUGCCGUGCACUGCCAGUGCUCCUUCACAGCCUGCAAAGAAGAGCUUUCCUUUCUGUAUGAAUGAAUCAGCGCCGCUCCCUCAGGACAGGCGUAGGUCGCAUGAGGGGGUGGCAGACAUGAGCUGCAGCGACAGACAGCAGCUUGCAGAGAGGGGAAGUUCAGAGGACUCGGGGUGGGUGGCACUGAGCUGAGCUCUGCCAGGGAGGAGAUGGGGAGAUGACGUAGAUGCAGCAUCAGGGAAGCUACUGAAUCUGGGUCAGAGCAGUCACCCAGCAGAGCUGCUGGAGGUGGGAGAGCUGAGCCGAGCGAUCUGGGGUCGGAGGUGGCAGUGAACACCGAGCGCUGCUUGAGGGUUGGGUGAAGGGUAACUCCAUCCUCACCUUCCUCCAAAAAGGGAACAGACCAGCCCGCAGCCUCAGGAGUAAGCCUGCAUGCUCAGACUUCACAAUCUGCUUCAGAGACAUCUCUUGACUCACAUCCCCCUCAGCCUCUUCCCUAGGUUAUUUUUUUUUUUCUGCUUUUGCUUCCUGAGACUCACUCCAGGAAGCAAUCGAUAGGGCAGAGCAGACUGACAUGCCCGAGUCACAGCGCUGUGCUGUAUUAAUGGAACAUCGAGUCCCACAGUGCAGAAGGCAGCAGCACCCCACUGACAAGGAGGAACCCAGCAAAGCCCCAGGAACAGCUCUUCCCAUCCUCAGGUUGGUUCAAAAACACAAAGGAAGCGUGCUUAAAGCCAGAUUCAUUCACUCGCUAAACAAAGUUACAGUGCUUGGAAGACUCAGAAAUAAACAUCCCAAGGCGGUGAGUCACUCGUGGGCAGGACAGUCCCCACCACAUCAGGUCGAUGACGUGCAGCCAGAGCCAACUCUCAGCACUGGGAGCUGGGCGAGGAAAGCCGGCCCACCUGAGCGAGGUCUGCAGGUGCAAGAGGUGAUGGGAGCCAACAACCCAGCCUGGAAGAGGGAAGUGGGAAAGCCACGGCCCUCUUCUAGAGCACAAACAUUUCGCUUUGCCCCUCAGAGCACGGCCUUGCUGCCGGCAGCACUGAGCAGGAACGAGGAGUGCACGAGGAGUGAUGCUCUCCCAGCUGCGCGCUGAUUGGCUCGCGGCUCAGCCAAUCAGAGCCAGAGCUCCAUGGCAACCGGCUCUGUCACCAGGAGCAACCGGGAGAGCCGGGUACCGGCAGCCGCCCUAUGGAGGGACCGGGGGAGUGCUGUAAACCCUCUGAGGUGAGAAAGAGAAAUGUGGGACAGCCUGAGCUCCCCUCUCCUGUCACAGCUAUUCCUGCACUCAUCCAGGAGCAGGGAACUGCUCCCAUGACGUCAAAGCAGUUUCCCAGCAACAGUGAAGGAGGGCUGUCCACCACGGGGGUUUCCUGAAAAGCUAGCAUGGAAUCAUCCACCUCCUUUCUGCAGUGUCAGAUGCGAUAGGACAGCACGGCAAUGGGACUUGUGUUAACUUCCCUCGUGCUGGCACGCUCCUCCAGUGCUCUCCCUGUGCCAAGAAGCAGCAGCAGCACUUAAAGUUGGCUGAGAGCACAGAUUCCCCAGCCCAGCUCAGCAUGAAGCCAGCUGCAAACACUGGGUGUCACAGCAAGGUGUCACAGCAAGGUAAGAGUGUGAAGAGCAGGUGAGGUGUUCCUGCCUACCUGCAGCAUGAGGACCUCAAGGGCUGCUGCCUGCAGGUCCUGGAGCCACGGGUGAUGGUUUCUGUUCUAAAAGAGCACUGUGAGGAGGUGAAGGGAAGGGCAGCAGGUCUGAUGCACCAAAAUAAAGAUCCUGCGGUGCUGUAAGUGGCUGAUACACCCAGCCCUAGGAGUAGCUCCUAGCACUGACAGUUGGAUGGAGGGAAUGUUCCUUCAGCACCGGUGUGAGAAGGAGGCAGAGGGAAUCCAAACUCCCCGUUCUGCUGAAACCAAACCCAGUUUGCAGCAAGCUUUUAAACACAAGAUGGGGUUAAAAUAAAUACACGGGUACAAAUACAGCACAAGCAGCCCUACAGAACAUCCAACUGAGCAAAGCAAACUCAAUAUUUCCCAUGGCACGUGGCCAGCCAACAAGUAGCCACGUUCUUUGCCAAACUAGCCAGCUUCCAAGCAGCACAGCCCUGAAAGCACAGCCCAGCACAGCAGCACGGAGCACUCUGCCUUUGCGAAAGGGAAAGGAAGAGCCCAGAAGGAGCUGCACACAGCUCAGCUCAGCUGGGAGAGCCCACGAGGGGAACUCCUCGCUGACACAGCACAGCAGCAAUCAGGGAUUCCCCCGCUCCUGCAGGUGCACUCUCAGCACCACAAAAAGAAAGCUCAGUUCUGGCACUGCAUCCCCAAUGGGAUCAGAGCUGUGGAUCCAUCACAGCGUUAAAUGAAGCAGCAGGAAUAGGCACUUACCGGAGGUGAGCGAUGUCAGGUUCCCAUCCCUGAACCGCCUGCCUGCUGUACCUACGCUGUGUUUUGCACAGGGGUGGUGAGAAGAGAUGAAAAGAGAAGCCUCGGGUCACUGCUGCUCAAGCCCCAAAUGUCAGGCGGCUCAGCUCUACAAAGGAACUCACCCCUGUGGCUCCGAGCUCCCCGCAGUCACCUGGCCCCUAAUCCCCACGGACCCUCCAUUGCCACAGCUGGCUCGGUAGGAACGCCGCCAGGAUCAUUUUGCUCUCUGGAAGCCCUUAACCUGCUUUCCCCCCCUCCCCAAUGAUCGCAGCGCUGUGCCGUGCAGCUCCGAGGCAGAGCAGAGCCCAACUGUGGGGAGGGAUGGCACGGAGCUCUGCCAAUGGCCACAUGCACACCCCCUCCUGCUCUCAUUCAAACACUUCAGUGGAACUGCCUCUGCAGAGCCCCGAGAAGGCUUUAAAGACACAGCAUCUUCCUGAGCACUGAGAAGGCUUUAAAGACACAGCAUCUUCCUGAGCACCAUCAGGCAGGCGGGACGCAAUGGCACGGAGGACCCCACGUGCACGGAGGUGGGUUUUGGGCUGCCUUCCUCACGGCUCAUGCAGUGCCAUCAACGCUCCCAUGGAGUCACAGUCUUUAAUGGUUUCUUUGCCAUGCAAUACAGGAAGGAAGCAAGAAAUGCAAACGAGCCUGGAGAAGUUCUGAACCGUGUUGCAGCUUUCCCCCACCGAGCCUGCAGAGCUGAUCUCCAGCAGAAAGACUCCAGGCAGAGGGGCUGAGCAGGACAGACCUCAGAGCACGGAGCCCUGCAAGCCCACACAGCACAGAUGCACCUCCUGGGUUUCCUCCAACAGCCACAGAGCCGCCUCACUGCCAGGCAGCAGCACUCUGUCUCCAGGAAACAAAGUGGGAGAAGAUUUCCUCAGCUGCACCUUUACUUGGAUGCAGCUUUCUCUUUACAGCAGACCCUGGCUGGGAGGAGGAGUGCAUCAGCCCCACUGAAGCCCAAGUGGCUGCAAGCUGGCUGAGCCCCACAGAUCACUGCCUUGCACACCUGGGAGUCCUCUGCUCAGGUAAUGUGUGUGUUUGCACAUUUAUGCACUGAGACCACGCUCUGCUUCACCCUGAUGGGUUUCUGUUGAAAGAAAACUGAUGCUUCAUCAGAAGGGAAAAGCCCUCAGCCUCGUGGCGCUGACCCGGCAGUGGCUGUAGUGCCAAUGUGUGUCAGCCCAGGACAGGGAUUCCCUGUGUGAGAUGCACAGCAGGCAGCAGCAGUGUGCCCUGCGUACGUGAGAGCAUCGUGGGCUCCGGCUACAGCACUCAGGAAACUGCCCCUGCCCUUAAAAAAGGGAAGAGAAAAGUCACACGGAGCCUGGAACAGAGUCCUCAUUGCACAUCAGCUAACAGCACUCUUCUGCCACCUGCCACACUGCACAGGGAUGAAGGAAAGCUGUGCACACCGCAGGAAAACAGCAAAACACCCAGGAGCAGAGCAGCAGGAUCCGUGCAGCUGGGAUGGACCACAUGCUCUGGGCCUUCUAACAGGAGCUCAUAGGAAAAGGAGAUUCCUCAGCAGGGCUGGGAGUGACGCAGGAGUCCUGCAGCUAGCACAGCUCUGUGAGCAGGUCUGAUAAGAGAGCAAGGGGUAGAGCAAAGGAGAGGAAAAGCGACUGUGGAGUGGAGAGUCCACCAUCAGAAGUCACCUCAGCCCCGAGCUGAUGGGGAUGGCAGCUCAGAGCAGGAAUUCUGAACGGGCUCUGCUAUCAGACAGAAACGAUGAGCUUGAUGCGCCCAGGAAAUGGGAUCUGAGAUCCAGGAGUCGCUGCCCACAGGAAAAAUAAAACAGAGCACCGUCAAAUUUAAUCGUAAGGGAUUUUCCAUUCGGAUCUGGCUCAGCUGAGGAUGCACACCCAUGGCAACCGGCCCUUCCCUAUCCCCCCCAGCACCCAACUCACAGAUGUGUGCUGGCUGCAGCUGUGCCCCCGUGGCCCCUGCAAGUCUGACGUGCACCAGAUCUGUCAAUGGCUCAGGACAGACACGUGGGCAGCGAUGAGGAACGUAACGAGCUCCCAUUCAGCUCCAAACACUGAUAAAUAAUUCAGGAAGAGAAAAAUGCCGCAAUACAGAGCGCAGCACUGCUUAAAAAUAGAAUAUGUGCUGCUGCUGCCAGAGGAACAGAGGGAAGAAAGCAGAGAGGUGGCACCAACGGAGCACGCGUUGGGUUGUUGGCCUUUCCAAUUAGGAAUCCCCCACUCUGGGUGUUACAGUGGCAGCAGCCAGGGCUGCCCCUGCUGGAGGAGAGCCCUGCAGCCAUGCGUGCAAGAAAGGGAAAAUCCUCCAGGCUGCACAGCCUGCAGCAAGAGCGGGGUGGGAGCACGGCCAGGGUGCUGGGUGGCAUCCAGCUCUGCACAGCCACAGAGCUCAGCUUCACUCGCUCCGGUGUUUCCUGCAGGGCAGAGGUGAACAAUGCUGUUCUCUCCCGAGUCGUGCUGCCUUGUGUGCAGAAACUUCCACCCUGAUAUCAGUGCCACCACCAGCUGUCCCGUGCUGAUGAGGCUCUGCAAAGAGCAACCUGCCACCACCAGGCCAAAAG